rnacentral:lncRNA from 1 species
CAGCCACCCAGACCAUGCUCCGCCGACUGGGCGCCCAAGCUGCAGUCGCCCUCUGUGUGCAGGCAGCAGCUGCCUGGCAACCCCCGAGCUCGCUCGCGCUGUCAGCAUCGCAGAACUAGGGCCAGGUGUCCCAGUGGCUGCGGCCAAGCCAGGCAUUCUGACCGGCGGCGGCGGCUGCACAGGAGCGAGAACUGAGAAGCCGCCGCUCAACCCCACACGGGGUGACUGCUGAGGGCCCAUACCAACGGCCCCGAUCUCCCUCAGGUGGAGGACUGGGCGGGAGGCACAGCCUGGGGGCCCUCAGGCUGGGCGCGCUGGCGAUCCCGAGGCCGACCAGGCCAUGCACCUCCAGCCCGCCUGGGCACCCAAGCUGCAGCCGCCUUCUGUGUGCAGGCAGCAACCUCCAGGCAACUCCCGAGUCCGCCCUCACUUCCCACAUCUCGGAACGAGGGCCAGAUGUCCGUGUGGCUGCGGCCAAGCCAGGCGGUCUGCCCUGCAGCAGCUGCACGGGGGCGGGAACCGGCCCUCAGCCCUAUCCCCCGUGGCUGCAGAGGGCCCUUGGCUAGAGGUGUCGAGCUCUGGCAUAGGAGGAGCCGGGCGGGGGCAGGGUCUGGCGGGCUCUCAGGCCAGGAGCACUUGCGAUCCAGAGGCCGCCCAGGCCAUGCUCACCACCUGGGCGCCCAGCUACAGGCGCCAGGCAACUCCCAAGCUGGCUGGCGCGCCCAGCCUCGCAGACCCGGGCCUGGAUGUCGCCGUGGCUGCGGCCAAGCCAGGCGGUCUGCUCGGCGGCGGCUGCACCGGGGCAGGAACCGACCCUCAGCCCCAUCCCCGGUGGCUGCGGACGGCCCCUGGAGCGGCCCCGACGUCUCUUCGGAGGAGAAGAGGGGUGGGAGUCACGGCCAGGCAGGCCCUCAGGCGGGAAGGGAUGCGCGCCUGCGAUUCCGGGACGUACCGCGCCAGCCCAGGAGAACCCGGAAGCCAGCAGCUCUUGUUUCUCUGUGUGUUUCUGUGAGGAACCACCAAAUUGUUUUCCACGGCAAGUGCAUCAUUUUCUAUUCCUAGCAGCCAGUUCAUGAGGGCUCCAAUUUCUCCACCUCCUUAGCAACAUUGAUUUUCUGUGUCGUUGUUAUGAAAGCCUUACUAGUGGAUGCAAAGUGGUAUCUC